rnacentral:rRNA from 1 species
UACGGAGGGUGCGAGCGUUUGUUCGGAAUUACUGGGCGUAAAGCGCGUGCAGGCGGCCGACUAAGUCAGGUGUGAAAGCCCGGGGCUCACCUCCGGAAGUGCGCUUGAAACUGGCCGGCUAGAGUACGGGAGAGGGAAGCGGAAUUCCUGGUGUAGCGGUGAAAUGCGCAGAUAUCGGGAGGAACACCGGUGGCGAAGGCGGAUCUCUGGACAGUUCCUGGACGCUGAGGCACGAAGGCCAGGGGAGCAAACGGGG